CCAAUUUGCCAGAGCCUUAACACCCUGCAGUUCUCACCUGGUGUCACGCUGAAGAUAAGUAGGGCUCAGCCUGGCCAGUAUCUGGUUGGGAGACCUCCUAGGGGAAAAGUAAGGUUGCUAUUGGA
rnacentral:rRNA from 1 species